rnacentral:rRNA from 1 species
UACAGAGACUGCAAGCGUUAUUCGGAUUCACUGGGCGUAAAGGGUGCGCAGGCGGCCAAGUGUGUGAGGUGUGAAAGCCCGGGGCUUAACCCCGGAAUUGCACCUCAAACUACAUGGCUAGAGCAUUGGAGAGGGUAGCAGAAUUCAUGGUGUAGCAGUGAAAUGCGUAGAUAUCAUGAGGAAUACCAGAGGCGAAGGCGGCUACCUGGACAAUUGCUGACGCUCAGGCACGAAAGCGUGGGGAGCAAAAGGG